rnacentral:rRNA from 1 species
AAUAUUUGACAAUGGGGGCAACCCUGAUCCAGCCAUGCCGCGUGUGUGAAGAAGGUCUUCGGAUUGUAAAGCCCUUUAAGUUGGGAGGAAGGGCUUUGGGUUAUUACCCUGAAUUUUUUCUGUUCCCAACAGAAUAAUCACCGGCUACCUCUGUGCCAGCAGCCGCGGUAAUACAGAGGGUGCAAGCGUUAAUCGGAAUUACUGGGCGUAAAGCGCGCGUAGGUGGUUCAGUAAGAUGGGUGUGAAAUCCCCGGGCUUAACCUGGGAACUGCUUUCAUAACUGCUGAGCUAGAGUACGGUAGAGGGUAGUGGAAUUUCCUGUGUAGCGGUGAAAUGCGUAGAUAUAGGAAGGAACACCAGUGGCGAGGGCGACUACCUGGACUGAUACUGACACUGAGGUGCGAAAGCGUGGGGAGCAAAC